rnacentral:tRNA from 1 species
UCCCUGGUGGUCUAAUGGCUAAGAUUCCGUGCUCUCAAUACAGGGGGCCUGGGUUUGAUCCCUGGUCAGGGAC